GGGGGUAUAGCUCAAACGGUAGAGCGCGUGCUUAACACAUAUGAGGUCCUGGGUUCAAUCCCCAGUAUCUUCU
rnacentral:tRNA from 1 species